rnacentral:rRNA from 1 species
UUGUCCCACCUGACCCCAUGCCGAACUCAGAAGUGAAACGCCGUAGCGCCGAUGGUAGUGUGGGGUCUCCCCAUGCGAGAGUAGGGAACUGCCAGGC